rnacentral:tRNA from 3 species
GCGCUCGUAGCUCAAUUGGAUAGAGCGCCUGACUACGGAUCAGGAGGUUAGGGGUUCGACUCCCUUCGAGCGUG